rnacentral:misc_RNA from 1 species
AACGCAUAUGGUACCUCCAGGCCCAGCCCGGAGGUAUGUCUGUUUGAGAAUCAUUUCCACUUUUGCUUUUUGAUCAACCAACAAGCGAUUUGGGCUCACAUCACUGUCUGCCCGAAAGAGCCGCGCUGUCGUGGGGUUGCACAUGCUGCGACAGCAAAACCAUCAGUGAUCCCAAAUCAGACAGGACUACCCGCCGAACUUAA